GGUGCCAUGCCUUGGAUGUUCCUGGAUGUCGGAAUACAACAAAUUACUAAAUUUGCAAGAAGCAAGAUACAGACUCCAUGCUAUUGUCAUUUAUCCAUAUUAAUAACAUCAAUUCAAUUAGAAAAGCCCCAAAAAAUUUGAGAUUCCAAUUCAAGCUCAUAUAAUGAAUGACUGUGAUAAUAGCUAUUGAUAUAAUAUUUGAUGUUUAUACAUUAUUUUAGAUAGAAAGAAAGAAAGAAACUUGUAUAGGUGCUCUCCUCUUCUGAUGAAACUUGUAUAGGUGCUCUCCUCUACUGAUGAAAGUUGGAAAAGUGUGGGCCAUUAAACCAAGUUGCCAACUUCACAAACAAGUAAAGCCUCAUAGUAUAGCAAGAUAUUGCCACAAAUCUUUUUGCACUAAUAAACCUCUUGGUUGAUAGAAAAUAUUAUUCACAUUCAU
rnacentral:lncRNA from 1 species